GACGAACCGUGCGAACGUUGUUCGGAAUCACUGGGCUUAAAGGGCGCGUAGGCGGCCCAUCAAGUCCGGGGUGAAAGCCCCCAGCUCAACUGGGGAAGUGCCUCGGAUACUGGUGAGCUCGAGGGAGGUAGGGGCGGAUGGAACUUCCGGUGGAGCGGUGAAAUGCGUUGAUAUCGGAAGGAACGCCGGUGGCGAAAGCGAUCCGCUGGCCCUCUACUGACGCUGAGGCGCGAAAGCCAGGGGAGCAAACGGG
rnacentral:rRNA from 1 species